CUGCUGCUGCUAAGCUUCUAGAGCAACUGCAGUUCCGAUACCGGAUCUCUGCUCACCUGCACUCAACUCAACACUGAUGCAGCAAGAGAUUGUGGAGGAAGCUCCUAUGACUAUGAGAAGCUUGAGUUUGAUCCAGAAUGGCUGGCCAUCUUGAAAGCAACAGCCAACCUAACCCUCUGCUGGACAACAGAUGACACAACAGAGACAAAACAUUGCAAUGAUCAGAUCGCAAGGAACCACAUGGAGGAAAAAAUGGAAUCACAC